UUAUUUUGUAUUUCUUUUAGAUAUAUUAUAAAACAAGAAAUUUAGUUCCCAUGUAUCCAAGCUGUCCCUUCGGAAGGUGAUCAGAAGAGAGAAAUGAGUUUGGAAAAGAAAAGGAAUAGCUGAACAAGAGUAAGAGUUUCUGCAAUAAAGCCUUAAAAGAGAAUAAAAAUGUGGAAAAGUGAAGGUAGACACUGGAGCUGCACUUAAAUAGUUCUUAGGAGCCCAAAGAAAGCAAGUGAUUUCAGAAAUCUAAACCCUGAGAAAACAUGGGUAACAGAGAAGAACUUUUGCUGUGAUAUCUACUUCUGCAGGGAGUAGAGAAACAGAAGUAGAAGGUAAAUCUGAGACAUCUCUUACUUACAGAGGACAGACAUAAGUCCAAACAAAUCAACAGCCACAACAAUUUUUAAAUGGAUCCAAUCCAUCCACUAAAAAGCUACAUACAAGAUUAUUUUGUAAAUAAAAGGCUGAUAUAGUAUUAGGAAUAGCAGGCAUCACCAGUACUUUUCAACUAGAGUACAAAGUGAAAGGAUUGAGAAAAUAGAUAAUAGAGAACAGCUCACCAAGAAGAUAUAAAAUCAUGGACAUUCCUACACAAGGAAAAACUGACAGCUCCACA